rnacentral:rRNA from 1 species
AUUGAACGCUGGCGGCAGGCCUAACACAUGCAAGUCGAACGGUAACAGGAAGAAGCUUGCUUCUUUGCUGACGAGUGGCGGACGGGUGAGUAAUGUCUGGGAAACUGCCUGAUGGAGGGGGAUAACUACUGGAAACGGUAGCUAAUACCGCAUAACGUCGCAAGACCAAAAAGGUGGACCUUCGUGCCUCUUGCCAUCGGAUGUGCCCAGAUGGGAUUAGCUAGUAGGUGGGGUAACGGCUCACCUAGGCGACGAUCCCUAGCUGGUCUGAGAGGAUGACCAGACACACUGGAACUGAGAAACGGUCCAGACUCCUACGGGAGGCAGCAGUGGGGAAUAUUGCACAAUGGGCGCAAGCCGGAUGCAGCCAUGCCGCGUGUAUGAAGAAGGCCUUCGGGUUGUAAAGUACUUUCAGCGGGGAGGAAGGGAGUAAAGUUAAUACCUUUGCUCAUUGACGUUACCCGCAGAAGAAGCACCGGCUAACUCCGUG